UACAGAGGUCCCGAGCGUUGUUCGGAUUCACUGGGCGUAAAGGGUGCGUAGGUGGUGAGGUAAGUCGGAUGUGAAAUCUCCGGGCUUAACCCGGAAAUGGCAUUGGAAACUACCUUGCUAGAGGAUUUGAGGGGGGAUUGGAAUACUUGGUGUAGCAGUGAAAUGCGUAGAUAUCAAGUGGAACACCAGUGGCGAAGGCGGCAUUCUGGACCGGCAUUGACGCUGAUGAACGAAAGCCAGGGGAGCAAACGGG
rnacentral:rRNA from 1 species